AUUGAACGCUGGCGGCAUGCCUUACACAUGCAAGUCGAACGGUAACAGGUUAAGCUGACGAGUGGCGAACGGGUGAGUAAUGUAUCGGAACGUGCCCAGUCGUGGGGGAUAACUGCUCGAAAGAGCAGCUAAUACCGCAUACGACCUGAGGGUGAAAGCGGGGGAUCGCAAGACCUCGCGCGAUUGGAGCGGCCGAUAUCAGAUUAGGUAGUUGGUGAGGUAAAGGCUCACCAAGCCGACGAUCUGUAGCUGGUCUGAGAGGACGACCAGCCACACUGGGACUGAGACACGGCCCAGACUCCUACGGGAGGCAGCAGUGGGGAAUUUUGGACAAUGGGCGCAAGCCUGAUCCAGCCAUGCCGCGUGCGGGAAGAAGGCCUUCGGGUUGUAAACCGCUUUUGUCAGGGAAGAAAAGGUUCUGGCUAAUACCUGGGACUCAUGACGGUACCUGAAGAAUAAGCACCGGCUAACUACGUGCCAGCAGCCGCGGUAAUACGUAGGGUGCAAGCGUUAAUCGGAAUUACUGGGCGUAAAGCGUGCGCAGGCGGUUAUGCAAGACAGAGGUGAAAUCCCCGGGCUCAACCUGGGAACUGCCUUUGUGACUGCAUGGCUAGAGUACGGUAGAGGGGGAUGGAAUUCCGCGUGUAGCAGUGAAAUGCGUAGAUAUGCGGAGGAACACCGAUGGCGAAGGCAAUCCCCAGGACCUGUACUGACGCUCAUGCACGAAAGCGUGGGGAGCAAACAGG
rnacentral:rRNA from 1 species